rnacentral:rRNA from 1 species
GGUUAAGCGACUAAGCGUACACGGUGGAUGCCCUGGCAGUCAGAGGCGAUGAAGGACGUGCUAAUCUGCGAUAAGCGUCGGUAAGGUGAUAUGAACCGUUAUAACCGGCGAUUUCCGAAUGGGGAAACCCAGUGUGUUUCGUCACACUAUCAUUACGUGAAUACAUAGCGUAAUGAAGCGAACCGGGGGAACUGAAACAUCUAAGUACCCCGAGGAAAA